rnacentral:rRNA from 1 species
UACGGAGGGCGCUAGCGUUAUUCGGAAUUACUGGGCGUAAAGCGUACGUAGGCGGCUUUGCAAGUUAGAGGUGAAAGCCUGGAGCUCAACUCCAGAACUGCCUUUAAAACUGCAUCGCUUGAAUCCAGGAGAGGUGAGUGGAAUUCCGAGUGUAGAGGUGAAAUUCGUAGAUAUUCGGAAGAACACCAGUGGCGAAGGCGGCUCACUGGACUGGUAUUGACGCUGAGGUACGAAAGCGUGGGGAGCAAACAGG